GUUCUCGAUAGUUCAGGUGGUCGACGGGAAAUUCUUCAACGAGCGGGAAUUUCCAAUUGGAAAAGCGAAACAAAACUUAUCCCAGGAAGCAAGUAAUUCUUACUCUUCGCCUGCUCAAUCCAGCUUUACAAAAAAUGGCAUGGGAAAACUGAUUACAUCAUCAUGAUUGUUAAAAAUAAAAUCAAGUCAGUAUUGUAUCACAAGUGAUGCAAUACAGAAAUCUUUGCAUCUUUAAACCAGGUGUGAAUUUCAAUUGUAAAUGGAAUCUCUGAUUGAUACAGUUGGAAUAUUGCAAAUCACUGGCGACGAUGAGCUGCAGUUUAUAAAGAUAUUAGAAAGUGAAUUAAUUAACUACCGUGGAAAUGGAUAUGUGCUUGAAUACAAUGACUUACGGAACAAACAACAAAAGGAAACUAUCAUCUAUAUGAACUUGCGAAAAUUCAAAGAAAGAAAGUUACCACUUAUCGUCCUGAUUAGCAAAUCCUUUCUUGAUGAAAUAUGGUCCACUGCCUACAAGGGAAUUAUUCUUAAAGAUAUAACAAAUUAUGUGUCUCCCUACUGUUUACAUAUCUGGCUUGGAGGACUCACCGAAACUGAAAUUAUAAAGUAUAGCGCGACACUGUGCAGGAUAGAUGGUGCAUUUCGGAGGACAGCUCUAAAAGAUAUAAAGCAGAAUACAUUGGUUGAGAGCAUUCGGUCAUUUCUUUCGGACGUAAAGAAAAAGCCUUGUUAUGAAAAUUUUGCAUUAGACAAGCAACAAGAACGACUUCAAUCCUUUGAUCUGAAUUUGAACAAUUCUCCAUCAAUGUCUAUGGACAACACUUAUGAUGAGCCUUUUUCAAGCUCUGCCUCCAGCUCUUCAAAACAGGUUUUAAGCAAAAGCAACACUAAAAUAUCUGAUGAAAUUACAAGUAAAUCAUCGGUCACCAAUCCUGUAAGUAAGCCGAAACCGAAAAAGAAAAAACAAGAUAGUCAUUACAAGGAGGUGGCCAGUAUGAUGUUACUAGACAAUGAUCUUGAUGAUGUGAAAAGGGAUAAUAUUCCUCCGCCAUCUGCAUUUUCAAGUUUAGAGUCUGCUUCUGAAUCCACAAAAAAUAAGAAAAAGAAAAAGAAAGUCGGGGUUGCCAAAAUGGCAAAUUUAAGUUAUGGCCAUAUUCAUCGUAUUGCUUCAAUGUUGGAUGUUGGAUAUGGGGCUAACUGGAAACAAAUAGCAGCAUAUUAUGGUAUAGAUCAUCUUACUGUAAGCAAUAUAGAAUUGGCUUUAGCCAGGAAUGAAAGUCCAACAGAAAAUUUGUUGCAUUUACUGCGUGUACGGAUUCCUGAUUUAACAAUUUCAGAUUUUGUUGAUAAAUGUGCAAAGGUAUUGCGAAAUGACGUUGUUUUAUAUAUUCAAGAAAAUGUUUUGCCAUAAAAAUAUAUUUUCAUUACCACUUGGCUACUUUUUAGAUGUUACUUUAAACUGGAUCUUUGGUUCUUUUUAUGUUAAAUGAUUAUCAUAUAACAUAUGUCAAUAGCUGGUAUUAAGUUGAGACUUGUAUUAAAAAUGAAUGUGAUUUUGUGUAUAUCUUUGAUUAAUUGUGAUUAAUGUUGGUUUGCAAGUGGUUUAGAUGAACAACAAAUUUUAUGAGAUUAAUAGCAAUGUUAGUGGCUGUUGGAAAGCAAUUAUAAUUUAAUUGAAACAAAACAAGCAUAAAGAAAACGUAAUUUUCUUGCAAUUAUAUAAUGUUCACUAUUGAUCCUUUUAUUGAAUGGUAUGGAGGGAAAAUUCCACCCUAUGGGUGUCAGAAAUUCAAUGAUUGGAACAAAAGUUAUAAAUAUAGGUUAUGACAGUUGCUAACAAAGCAAAGAAAUUAAUUUUUAUUCAUCACAACAUCUAUUGGAUGGAAUUGAUAUGUUGCGUACAAGAUGUUUGCAAUAAAAUGUUAGUGGUAAAUGGAUAAUUAAUAACAGUGAAGAUACAGAAAUUUUUAUAGUUUUGUAUCAGGGACUUAAAAAAAAAUGUUUCAACAACCAAACAAAAUACGUGCAUCCAAGAGGAAAAAAAAGGACAAAUAAAGUUUGAAAUUUGAAUAUUAUUAAUGCAGAUUUUAAUUUCUACUUUCUAUAAAAAAAUUUGUGUUCAGUUUAAACGUGUUGACUGGCGGUAAGUUAUAUUUGUGUUUGUGAUAAAAAAAUAUUUCAUCUUAGUAUUAUUUUUUAAAAAUUUAAAGUUUGUUAUUGGAACUUUUGAAAAUUUAAUUUUUUUUAAGUCUUUUGUUUUAUGUUAUUUUGAUUUAAAAGAAGGCAACUAGUGGUUUGCCAUUUUGGCAAGUUUUGCAAAGGUAUAUACAAAGUAGUAUAUACCAUGAUGUGUGAUUAAAAUUUUUAUGACUAUUGCAUUCAGAGAAAUCAGAAUGUUCUUGGACUGAGAAAUACAUAGUUGCUAAAGGAAAUCUAAAAAUUGGAAGAUAUUUUAUCAGAGUGUGCACACUACAUUGGUAUUGUACUAAACUUUUAUUAGACAAGUCACUGAAUCAAAUAUAUAUUGCAACGAAAUUACACAGUCCAUAGUUUUUGAUUUAAUUUAAAUAAAAUUUCUUCUAUUAUCAAUAUAUUUCUUUUAUCAAUGUUUUUUUUAUUAUAUAACUUUAUUUAUUGUUAAAUAUAUGUACCACAUGAAUUUAUUUGCCUAUAACUGUAUUUUUAUUGUGUUACAUCUUCAUACCAAAUGAUUUAUUUCAAAAUUGAAGAUGAAUUGAGGUAAAAAUUGGUUUAGUUAAACUUUUAUUCCCAUAAAAAUAGAAAUAUUCUAAUUUUAUCAAAUUUUUUUAUUUGUUUCUAAAUCAUUUCUUUCAAAAUAGCUAAAUCUACUCUUAAGCGAUUGUCCAAAACUUGUUUUGUGGAAUGUACAGCAUCGUAAAGUGUUUUACUAUCUGUUAAACAUUGAAUUGAUGCUACAAUAUUGCCUCAAGUAAACGUUAAACCCAAUAUCCUUUGCCAGCAGCAUAUAUCAAUUAGAAAGUGUACUGGUAACUACUCUUUUUACAAUUUUCUUGACUGCCACGAAAUGAGUGAUAGUGAUUGAUUUAGUUGAUCCGUUAAGGAAGUUAAGAAUGCACCUUGAGAUCCUUCUCACUUUAGAUUUGCAAAUGUUGCAUCAAGAAGUACUAGCAAUUUAGCUUUCUCAUGUUUCCAACUACCCUGAAUUUCAUUUCCACAGGUUCUCUUUUUGCAUAUCUGAAACAUUGACAUAUUUGAUGUUACCCAUUAGUUAACUUCAAUUAAGAAGAUAUCUAGACGUGUCUGCGUAGUCAACCAAUUUAAAUUAAAAUCAAUACUUUUCGUUUGGUAUUCGAAAAUUUAUCAUAUCUUUGUUUUUAUCAAUGUUAUGUAUGCAAUUAUCUUGUGACACAAUAAUGUUAUCUUUUCUGUUUCUUAAAUCUAUAAUCCCAAAUAUUAAAAUGCUGUGUUGUGUGCUGUACUAAUUUUAAAAGUUUGAUGCAGUAGCAGUAUGACAUUGUUUAAAAACCAGCGAAACAAAAAUCAUCUACAUGGGUUGUCAUAAUUCCAUGUAGACGCACACCUUUCCGAAGUAAUUCAAGUAUAUCAGAGCCUCUUGUGAUACCUUUUCAGUAAAAUCCCACUCUCAACAUUACCAACUUUAUCAACAAUAUUGAGCCAAUUCCUAAACCUUUCACUUGCUUUUCCAGCUCUUACUUUAUCCUUAAACGUUUGGCAUAAUAAUCUUUGUUGUAUGGUUAUUAGUAAUUGAUGCUUCACUACUUAUCUCAUCACCUUCCAAUAUUUCUCUUUCAGUUUCUUGUUUUUCGUCAUUAUCAAUUUUCACUUCUGUGCUUUGAAUUUCUCCUCUUUUAAUCGUAGUGUGCAUGGAUACAUUCUAACAUAUGUUGAGCUGUGCUUCACCAGGACUUGCUGACUUUCCUGUCAAACUUGUUGACUUUCCUGAAGGCUUCUCUUUCAGCAUGCAAUGCAUUUAAGUUAUCAGUAACUACAUGACUCCUUUCCUUCCUUCUAGAGCUGGUGGAUUAUGCAUUUCUACAACUGGAAAAUAUGGAUUGCUGCCAAAGUUAAUUUGGUAAAAAGCUUUCUACGUUUUUUAAGGAAUCCUUAGCAGCAACAGCCUUAGCCACGGCUGUUUCUGAUGAAUAAUUAGGCUUGUCCAUUAUUUUACAGACUGUAUUGCCAAGUGUGUAUUAUGCCGCUAAACAAGUCCAUUACUCCAUGGUUUGAAUUCUCACACACGCUAUGGUAACCCUCGUCAAAUUCUCCACAAUUAUCCACUUAACACUUUAGCAGACCCAAAUACAGAAAUCCAAUUCUUAAAAAUGGAAUUAAUGUUGAUUUCUUUCCUUCUACUUCGAAUAACACAGGAUGCACUAAUCUGGCCAAGUGAUUAACAAGAUGUAAUAACCAAAUUUUAUCACCAUAUGGUCAUUGUUUCAAAUCCAUGCCAACACAUUAAAUACUGUUGCAUGUGGUAACCAAACAAUUGGUCUUGGUUGAUUUCUUCUUAUGGAUGUAUCACAACUAUCUGAAACUUUAGCAAUUAUGGAUGGAUGUCCAAACUAUUUAUGUAAUUUCAGGGCCACUUUUUGUUUUCCUUGAUUAUCUAUAUUAUAAUGCCCGUAUACGUCUGUCUGUCUGUUACGCAAAAUGGUAACCACAGUAACGAGAUAAACAAAUUGCGGUAUAUAAAGAGCAGGUGAA